rnacentral:rRNA from 1 species
UCUUAGUGGCGGACGGGUGAGUAACGCGUGGGCAACCUGCCCUGUACUAUGGGACAGCCCGUCGAAAGGCGGAUUAAUACCGUAUGUUGUCAUGUUGAUGCAUAUUUUCAUGACCAAAGGCUUCGGCCGGUAAAGGAUGGGGAUGCGUCUGAUUAGCUUGCCGGCGGGGUAACGGCCCACCGGGGCGACGAUCAGUAGGGGUUCUGAGAGGAAGGUCCCCCACAUUGGAACUGAGACAUGGUCCAAACUCCUACGGAAGGCAGCAG